AGGACACCUCCAGCACCAACUACGGGCGGGCAGGUUGCGAGGACACCUCCAGCACCAACUACGGGCGGGCAGGUUGCGAGGACACCUCCAGCACCAACUACGGGCUGGCACCUGGCGAG